rnacentral:rRNA from 1 species
GAUGAACGCUGGCGGCGUGCCUAAUACAUGCAAGUCGAGCGAAUGGAUUAAGAGCUUGCUCUUAUGAAGUUAGCGGCGGACGGGUGAGUAACACGUGGGUAACCUGCCCAUAAGACUGGGAUAACUCCGGGAAACCGGGGCUAAUACCGGAUAACAUUUUGGACCGCAUGGCUCGAAAUUGAAAGGCGGCUUCGGCUGUCACUUAUGGAUGGACCCGCGUAGCAUUAGCUAGUUGGUGAGGUAACGGCUCACCAAGGCCACGAUGCUGAGCCGACCUGAGAGGGGGGUCGGCCACACUGGGACUGAGACACGGCCCAGGCUCCUACGGGAGGCAGCAGUAGGGAAUCUUACGCAAUGGACGAAAGUCUGACGGAGCAACGCCGCGUGAGUGAUGAAGGCUUUCGGGUCGUAAAACUCUGUUGUUAGGGAAGAACAAGUGCUAGUUGAAUAAGCUGGCACCUUGACGGUACCUAACCAGAAAGCCACGGCUAACUACGUGCCAGCCGCCGCCGUAA